rnacentral:rRNA from 1 species
GUGAGGAAUUUUCCGCAAUGGGCGAAAGCCUGACGGAGCAAUGCCGCGUGAAGGAUGAAGGCCUAUGGGUUGUAAACUUCUUUUCUCAGAAAAGAAUUAUGACGGUAUCUGAGGAAUAAGCAUCGGCUAACUCUGUGCCAGCAGCCGCGGUAAGACAGAGGAUGCAAGCGUUAUCCGGAAUGAUUGGGCGUAAAGCGUCUGUAGGUUGUUUAAAAAGUAUUCUGUCAAAGAUUAGGGCUUAACCCUAGAUAGGCAGAAUAAACUUUUAAGCUAGGGUUUGGUAGAGGGAGAGGGAAUUCCCGGUGGAGCGGUGAAAUGCGUAGAUAUCGGGAGGAACACCAAAGGCGAAGGCACUCUGCUGGGCCAAUACUAACACUGAGAGACGAAAGCGAGGGGAGCAAAUGGGAUUAGAAACCCGUGUAGUCC